CAGGAAGUAGCUUAGCCUGGUUAAAGUGCCGGUCUCGGAUACCGGAGAUCACGAGUUCAAAUCUCGUCUUCCUGA
rnacentral:tRNA from 1 species